rnacentral:rRNA from 1 species
GACGAACGCUGGCGGCGUGCCUAAUACAUGCAAGUUGAGCGCUGAAGGUUGGUACUUGUACCAACUGGAUGAGCAGCGAACGGGUGAGUAACGCGUGGGGAAUCUGCCUUUGAGCGGGGGACAACAUUUGGAAACGAAUGCUAAUACCGCAUAAAAACUUUAAACACAAGUUUUAAGUUUGAAAGAUGCAAUUGCAUCACUCAAAGAUGAUCCCGCGUUGUAUUAGCUAGUUGGUGAGGUAAAGGCUCACCAAGGCGAUGAUACAUAGCCGACCUGAGAGGGUGAUCGGCCACAUUGGGACUGAGCCACGGCCCAAACUCCUACGGGAGGCAGCAGUAGGGAAUCUUCGGCAAUGGACGAAAGUCUGACCGAGCAACGCCGCGUGAGUGAAGAAGGUUUUCGGAUCGUAAAAAUCUGUUGGUAGAGAAGAACGUUGGUGAGAGUGGAAAGCUCAUCAAGUGACGGUAACUACCCAGAAAGGGACGGCUAACUACGUG